AGUAAUGGCGAACGAACAGGGAUGAGCUCGGCUUGGAAACUGGGGCCUUGGCCUUGGAUUGUAGCCUCUAGACAUAGCACCAACGGAGGCGCAGGUGUAAGCCUCUUGGAAAAGAGCAUCAACGUGGGUGAGAAUCCUGUGUUUCAUCUGCAGUCCACCGUGCACGGUGCAUGUUCUCAGAGUCGCGUUCCUCGGAAUUGGAGCGUAAAGUGGGUGGUAAAUUUCAUCUAAAGCUAAAUAUAGGCUUGAGACCGAUAGCAAACAAGUACCAUGAGGGAAAGAUGAAAAGGACUUUGAAAAGAGAGUUAAAAGUGCUUGAAAUUGCUGAAAGGGAAGCGAAUGGAACCAGUCCUCUGGCUGAGAUUGCUGCAUGCUUUUGUGUGUGGUGUUUCUCAGCUUGUGAGUCAACCUUUGUUCAUGCUUGAGGAUAGCCUCAGGUUCACGACGCUUCCCCGCGGGGUUGCUCCUGUGCUUGUAGGGACUCAGGCGUGUACUUUGUGUGACAAAAUGGU
rnacentral:rRNA from 1 species